CUCAAAAUUGUGUGGGACCACCCAACUUUUUUUGUUGAAAAAUGAAAGAAAUAUGAAAAAUUGAAAACAUAAAAAAAUAAAAGCUCAAAUCUCUAAAUAAAUUAUAAAUUUAUCUCUCAAGUUGCAAAAUUCAUAAAACCCUAGUACAGUUCAUCUAUGCAAGGAGGAGGAGUUCCACCGUUGGCUUCUUGAGAUUCAUGAAGCUUGGGCUAAAUCUAUCAUUUUGGAGUUCUUCUUCGCUAGAAAGGUUGGGUGUCUUUGAGCUUUGUGGUUAUUUUGUUGCUAAGGAUAAGCUUUUACUCUUUUCUAUCUAUGCGGUUGAUCUGUGAUUUCAGAUCUGGAGUCCAAGCAUCCAACAAAGAAGGGUGAAAUACUUUGUAGUCAAUGGCUGUAGUUUUUCCAAGGAAAAUGUAUUUGGUAUUGGUUUACAGGUUUGAAGGCUCAAGUUUGUAACUCAAGAUGCAAGUUCGAAAGACUUGAUACAAGUUAACAAAUUAGUUCAUUUUGCUUAAUGCUGGGAAAAUCACUUUGUUGUUUGGUGAAGGAUUGUGUAAACAUAUUAGAUUUACAUCUCAUAUUGAGAUAUACAUUGGUACUAGUGGGAGACCUUUUUGUAAUGGAUUCCAAAUUUUAUAUAUGAAAGCAGCAUAUUAAUGUUGGUUUUAA